AGAUUUUUUAAUACUUUCUUAAUUUUUUAGUCCCUUUAUUUUUU
rnacentral:tRNA from 1 species